GACGAACGCUGGCGGCGUGCUUAACACAUGCAAGUCGAACGGAAAGGCCCUGCUUUUGUGGGGUGCUCGAGUGGCGAACGGGUGAGUAACACGUGAGUAACCUGCCCUUGACUUUGGGAUAACUUCAGGAAACUGGGGCUAAUACCGGAUAGGAGCUCCUGCUGCAUGGUGGGGGUUGGAAAGUUUCGGCGGUUGGGGAUGGACUCGCGGCUUAUCAGCUUGUUGGUGGGGUAGUGGCUUACCAAGGCUUUGACGGGUAGCCGGCCUGAGAGGGUGACCGGGCACAUUCGGGAAGAGGAGCCGGCCCAGGUCCAUCGGGGGGGAAGAAGGGGGAAUAUUGCACAAUGGGCGGAAGCCUGAUGCAGCAACGCCGCGUGCGGGAUGACGGCCUUCGGGUUGUAAACCGCUUUCGCCUGUGACGAAGCGUGAGUGACGGUAAUGGGUAAAGAAGCACCGGCUAACUACGUG
rnacentral:rRNA from 1 species